UACGGGGGGGGCAAGCGUUGUUCGGAAUUACUGGGCGUAAAGGGCUCGUAGGUGGCCAACUAAGUCAGACGUGAAAUCCCUCAGCUUAACUGGGGAAUUGCGUCUGAUACUGGAUGGCUUGAGUUUGGGAGAGGGAUGCGGAAUUCCAGGUGUAGCGGUGAAAUGCGUAGAUAUCCGGAGGAACACCGGUGGCGAAGGCGGCUUCCUGGACCGACACUGACGCUGAGGCGCGAAAGCUAGGGGAGCAAACAGG
rnacentral:rRNA from 1 species